rnacentral:rRNA from 1 species
ACCCGCUGAACUUAAGCAUAUCAAUAAGCGGAGGAAAAGAAACCAACAGGGAUUGCCCUAGUAACGGCGAGUGAAGCGGCUACAGCUCAAAUUUGAAAUCUGGCGUCUUUGGCGUCCGAGUUGUAAUUUGCAGAGGGCGCUUUGGCAUUGGCAGCGGUCCAAGUUCCUUGGAACAGGACGUCACAGAGGGUGAGAAUCCCGUACGUGGUCGCUAGCCUUUACCGUGUAAAGCCCCUUCGACGAGUCGAGUCGUUUGGGAAUGCAGCUCUAAAUGGGAGGUAAAUUUCUUCUAAAGCUAAAUACUGGCCAGAGACCGAUAGCGCACAAGUAGAGUGAUCGAAAGAUGAAAAGCACUUUGGAAAGAGAGUUAAAAAGCACGUGAAAUUGUUGAAAGGGAAGCGCUUGCAGCCAGACUUGCCUGUAGUUGCUCAUCCGGGUUUUUACCCGGUGCACUCUUCUAUAGGCAGGCCAGCAUCAGUUUGGGCGGUUGGAUAAAGGUCUCUGUCAUGUACCUCUCUUCGGGGAGAACUUAUAGGGGAGACGACAUGCAACCAGCCCGGACUGAGGUCCGCGCAUCUGCUAGGAUGCUGGCGUAAUGGCUGU